UACGUAGGGUCCGAGCGUUGUCCGGAAUUACUGGGCGUAAAGAGCUCGUAGGCGGCUUGUCGCGUCGAAUGUGAAAACCUGCAGCUCAACUGCAGGCUUGCAUUCGAUACGGGCAGGCUCGAGUUCGGUAGGGGAGACUGGAAUUCCCGGUGUAGCAGCGAAAUGCGUAGAGGUCGGGAGGAACACCAGUGGCGAAGGCGGCUACCUGGACCAGCACUGACACUGAAGCACGAAAGCGUGGGGAGCAAACAGG
rnacentral:rRNA from 1 species